rnacentral:tRNA from 1 species
AGUUAAAGAGCUCAAUAGAAAGCCUAAUGUUUUGAAAACAUUAUGAAAGAAGUUCAAUUCUUCUAUUAACUU